AGCGAACGCUGGCGGCAGGCCUAACACAUGCAAGUCGAACGAAGUCUUCGGACUUAGUGGCGGACGGGUGAGUAAUGCAUCGGAACGUGCCUGGUAGUGGGGGAUAACUGCUCGAAAGAGCAGCUAAUACCGCAUACGACCUGAGGGUGAAAGGGGGGGAUCGCAAGACCUCUCGCUAUCAGAGCGGCCGAUGUCGGCUUAGCUAGUUGGUGGGGUAAAAGCCCACCAAGGCGACGAUCCGUAGCUGGUCUGAGAGGACGACCAGCCACACGGGGACUGAGAACGGGACAAGACUGCGACGGGGGGCAGCAGUGGGGAAUUUUGGACAAUGAACGUAAGUCUGAUUCAGCAAUGCCGCGUGCGGGAAGAAGGCCUUCGGGUUGUAAACCGCUUUUGUCAGGGAAGAAACGCUCUGGGUUAAUACCUCGGGGUAAUGACGGUACCUGAAGAAUAAGCACCGGCUAACUGCGUGCCAGCCGCCGCUGUAAGAC
rnacentral:rRNA from 1 species